GACACGACUCUCGGCAAUGGAUAUCUCGGCUCUCGCAUCGAUGAAGAGCGCAGCGAAAUGCGAUACGUGGUGCGAAUUGCAAGAAUCCCGCGAAC
rnacentral:rRNA from 1 species